GCCUACGGGGCGCAGCAGUGGGGGAUAUUGCACAAUGGGGGAAACCCUGAUGCAGCGACGCCGCGUGGGCGAAGAAGUAUUUCGGUAUGUAAAGCCCUAUCAGCAGGGAAGAAGAAAUGACGGUACCUGAGUAAGAAGCACCGGCUAAAUACGUGCCAGCAGCCGCGGUAAUACGUAUGGUGCAAGCGUUAUCCGGAUUUACUGGGUGUAAAGGGAGCGCAGGCGGCACGGCAAGCCUGAUGUGAAAGACAGCGGCCCAACCGCGGGACGGCAUGGGGAACGACCGAGCUGGAGUGCCGGAGAGG
rnacentral:rRNA from 1 species